rnacentral:rRNA from 1 species
UUGUAGUCUCGAGAUGUACAACUAACAGGGGUGCAGGUGUAAGCCUCCUGGAAAGGAGCGCCGGCGAGGGUGAGAGCCCCGCGCGUCUUCUGCAGCCCCCUGUGCACAGUGUACUUUCCAAGAGUCACGUUCCUCGGGAUUGGAGCGCAAAGCGGGUGGUAAAUUUCAUCUAAAGCUGAAUAUGGGUCCGAGACUGAUAGCAAACAAGUACCCUGAGGGAAAGAUGAAAAGGACUUUGAAAAGAGAGUUAAACAGAGCCUGCCAUUGCUGAAAGGGAAGCGAACGAUACCAGUGUGACUUGGCGGGAUUGCCUCACAUUAGUGCGACUACUUGGUGCCUUUGCGAAAGCAUGGCGCUAGGUUUUUAGCAGGACGUGUGUGGUACUUCUUGCCUUGUCAGUCAACCUCGGUUUGUGCCUUUGGAAAAAAGUGGGGACAUGGUAGCCUGCCCCUGGGUGUGCGAAUGUUUCUGCGAAUGCGAAUGCACCUACUGACUGUUGACCACAUGGUUUCUUUCGACCCGUCUUGAAACACGGACCAAGNNNNNNNNNNNNNGUGCGAUUCGCGGGUUUCUAAUCCUGUUUGCGCAAUGAAAGUGACUGCUGGGAUUACUGCACCAGCAACCGACCAAUCAACUGCGAGAGGUUUGAGUGUGAGCAUGUCUGUUAGGACCCGAAAGAUGGUGAACUAUGCCUGUGAAGGGCAAACUCAGGGGAAACUCUGAUGGAGGCUCGUAGCGAUACUGACGUGCAAAUCGUUCGUCAUACAUGGGUAUGGGGGCGAAAGACUAAUCGAACCAUCUAGUAGCUGGUUCCCUCCGAAGUUUCCCUCAGGAUAGCUGGAGUUGAUCAGUUUUAUCAGGUAAAGCGAAUGAUUAGAGGAAUCGGGGACGCGUUGUCCUCGACCUAUUCUCAAACUUUAAAUGGGUAAGAUCCAGUGGUUACUUGGGUGAACUUCUGGGAUACAUGACAACUCUAAGUGGGCCAUUUUUGGUAAGCAGAACUGGCGAUGAGGGAUGAACCUAACGUUGGGUUAAGGUGCUUAACUGCUCGCUCAUCAGAUACCAUAAAGGGUGUUGGUUCAUUUUAACAGCAGGACGGUGGUCAUGGAAGUCGAAAUCCGCUAAGGAGUGUGUAACAACU